rnacentral:rRNA from 1 species
GAGGAAUAUUGGUCAAUGGGCGAGAGCCUGAACCAGCCAAGUAGCGUGAAGGAUGAAGGCUCUAUGGGUCGUAAACUUCUUUUAUAUGGGAAUAAAGUUUUCCACGUGUGGAAUUUUGUAUGUACCAUAUGAAUAAGGAUCGGCUAACUCC